UAAGGGGAUCUGUUAGAGCAAUCGAAGCAGUGAACUUAAGCCCCAGUAAACGGCGGCCGUAACUAUAACGGUCCUAAGGUAGCGAAAUUCCUUGUCGGGUAAGUUCCGACCCGCACGAAAGGCGUAACGAUUUGGGCACUGUCUCAACAACAGACUCGGUGAAAUUGUAAUUCCGGUGAAGAUGCCGGAUACCUGCGACAGGACGGAAAGACCCCAUGGAGCUUUACUGUAGCUUGACAUUGGGUCUUGGUACUACAUGUACAGGAUAGGUGGGAGGCUUUGAAACCAGGACGCCAGUUUUGGCGGAGCCAUCCUUGGGAUACCACCCUUGUAGUACUGGGACUCUAACCAUAGGCCAUGAAUCUGGUCUUGGGACACUGUCAGGUGGGCAGUUUGACUGGGGCGGUCGCCUCCCAAAAGGUAACGGAGGCGCUCAAAGGUUCUCUCAGUACGGUCGGAAAUCGUACGUAGAGUGUAAAGGCAAAAGAGAGCUUGAUUGCAAGACAUACAGGUCGAGCAAGGAUGAAAAUCGGACUUAGUGAUCCGGUGGUUCUGCGUGGAAGGGCCAUCGCUCAACGGAUAAAAGCUACCCUGGGGAUAACAGGCUUAUCUCCCCCAAGAGUCCACAUCGACGGGGAGGUUUGGCACCUCGAUGUCGGCUCAUCACAUCCUGGGGCUGUAGUAGGUCCCAAGGGUUGGGCUGUUCGCCCAUUAAAGUGGUACGCGAGCUGGGUUCAGAACGUCGUGAGACAGUUCGGUCCCUAUCCGUCGCAGGCGUAGGAAAUUUGAGAAGACCUGUCCUUAGUACGAGAGGACCGGGAUGGACGUACCUCUGGUGUACCAGUUGUCCUGCCAAGGGCAUGGCUGGGUAGCUAUGUACGGAAUGGAUAAGCGCUGAAAGCAUCUAAGCGCGAAGCCAACUUCAAGAUAAGAUUUCCCACCGCAAGGGUAAGACCCCAGAAAGACUAUCUGGUUGAUAGGUCGAAGGUGUAAGUGCAGCAAUGUAUUUAGCUUAUCGAUACUAAUAG
rnacentral:rRNA from 1 species